UACGGAGGGUGCAAGCGUUAUCCGAUUUAUUGGGUUUAAAGGGUCCGUAGCGGACUUAUAAGUCAGUGGUGAAAGCCUGUCGCUUAACGAUAGAACUGCCAUUGAUACUGUAAGUCUUGAGUAUAUUUGAGGUAGCUGGAAUAAGUAGUGUAGCGGUGAAAUGCAUAGAUAUUACUUAGAACACCAUUGCGAAGGCAGGUUACCAAGAUAUAACUGACGCUGAGGGACGAAGCGUGGGGGAGCGAACAGGAUUAGAUACCGCGUAGU
rnacentral:rRNA from 1 species